rnacentral:rRNA from 1 species
AACGUAGGUUCCGAGCGUUAUCCGGAUUUACUGGGCGUAAAGCGCGUUCAGGCGGUUUGGCAAGUCGGGCAUGAAAUCUCUCGGCUCAACCGGGAGAGGUUGUCCGAUACUGCUGGACUUGAGGGCAGUAGAGGGUGGUGGAAUUCCGGGUGUAGUGGUGAAAUGCGUAGAUAUCCGGAGGAACACCUGCGGCGAAGGCGGCAUCCUGGACCGGUAUUGACGCUGAGGCGCGAAAGCUAGGGGGAGCAAACGGG